rnacentral:sRNA from 1 species
AGCAGUAGCAGAGGCAGCUUCUGAGAGCCUGGGCAGGCAGCAGCUGGCUGACCAAGUCCACUGGAAGAGAAGGCUUGUGCCAGCCGGGAGAAGGAAGCCGGGGACAGGAUGAAAGCAACAACACCUUUACAGACAGUCGACCGGCCCAAGGACUGGUACAAGACGAUGUUUAAGCAAAUUCACAUGGUGCACAAGCCGGGUCUGUACAACCCACCCUACAGUGCUCAGUCACACCCUGCUGCAAAGACCCAAACCUACAGACCUCUUUCCAAAAGCCACUCUGACAACAGCCCCAAUGCCUUUAAGGAUGUGUCCUCCCCAGUGCCUCCCCCACAUGUUCCACCUCCAGUCCCACCGCUUCGACCAAGAGAUCGGUCUUCAACAGAAAAGCAUGACUGGGAUCCUCCAGACAGAAAAGUGGACACAAGAAAAUUUCGGUCUGAGCCAAGGAGUAUUUUUGAAUAUGAACCUGGCAAGUCAUCAAUUCUUCAGCAUGAAAGACCAGCCUCCUUGUAUCAGUCCUCUAUAGACAGAAGCCUGGAAAGACCCAUGAGUUCUGCAAGCAUGGCCAGUGACUUCAGGAAGCGGAGGAAGAGCGAGCCUGCAGUGGGUCCACCACGGGGCUUGGGAGAUCAAAGUUCGAGCAGGACUAGCCCAGGCCGAGUGGACCUCCCAGGAUCAAGCACCUCUCUUACAAAGUCUUUCACUAGCUCUUCUCCUUCU